GCUGGGCUGGGCCGGGCCGGGCAGCACCUGGCGGGGCCCCCGGGGCGCACAGCGCCGGGCUCGCGGACCCCGCAGCGGGGGGAAAGCCCAUCGCUUUACGGUGCCUCGGCCGGGGCCUGCGGCGGGAGCCCGGACUCGUUAAAAGGUCACCUAUGAUGCCGAGCCGGGCUCUCUGGGGAGGGGCGCGGAGAGGGGCCCUCCCGGUCCCCCCAGCCCGGCUCCGCUCCAGGCACGGGAGGCUCCUGACUGUCUCGACCACGUGCAGGGUCAGGCUUGGCCUUGCCCGGCUUCCCGGUCAGAGCCCGAGUUUCUUUGAGAAGUGUGAAGUAGUGCAGUGCGGCGGAGAGCUACUCACAGGGCACUCCGGGAGCAGGAGAGAGCCCAUAAGGGAAAGCAAAGUAAUAGUUCUUGUAGGUUUUAGUCUGAAAACUGACUGCUCAAAGGGGCUGCUUCUUACCAAAAAGACUGUUACCUACCUUCCCCUAGCGGCUGUUCUUUGGGAGGGGUUGCACAUGUCCACACUGUAGGCAUGUGCCUGUUUCGGGCAGUCGAGAGAGAACCUUUCCCCAAGCCGUACCUGUCCGGGCAGGAGGGGCACCGCCUGCCACUGCCAGCAGUCUAAGACUCCACUAGAGAGGGGAAGGAAGGUAGCUUGUGGAAUGGACAUUUCAAAGAACAACACUUUGGAAAGGUAGGUAACUGUUUUCCCUUCAAGUGAUUGCACAUGUCCGUUCCACUGUAGGUGACUCACGAGCAGAUUAACAUGGAGGCAGGCUCAGAGUCUAUCUGAACAGUGAUUGUAGAACAACCCACCCAAAACAGGCAUAGUUCCUGGACUGAUGGGAAGUGGUAUACUGAGCAGCAGAAGUGUGUACCGGUGACCUGGCUGGUGCUUUGGAAAGGUUUUCAGCAGGUGCAACAGAUAAUCCAGUCUGGUUAAUGGAAGCCUGCACUGAAGAGACACUUCUCUGCUGAGACCAGGUAGAAAAAUGUUUCCAUUUGGCCAGGUACGUACACCUUGUUGAAGGCUUUCUCCUGUUCUGAAGCACCUUCUGAACGUCUUUUGAGCAACUCCUUUCUAGUGGUGUUAGCUGGGAAGUUUCCACACUAUUAAAUGGAGGGCCUGUAGGUUGCGGUUGAGUAGACUGCAAUGGUCUGAAAAAUUACAUUUGAAUCUAAUGGCGGAGGUAGAAGGCCUCACUAAUAGGUUCAAGAACGUUGUCGAGGCCAUGCUGCUGCUCUUAGAAUGAGGCAAGCAUGUUUGUGCUUGAUCUUGAAUAGGACUCUAGGUAGUAAUGGAAUCGGAGGAAAGGCGUUCAGCAGGGAGUUCAUCCGUGAUAGCUGGAAAGCAUCUGUCAAAGACCCAGGGCUGGAACUCCCUCAGCAGCAGAACAGUAGGCAUUUGUUGCAAACAGGUCCAUGUGGGAAGUUUCCCCAGAGCUGGAAGAUGAGCCUAGCGACAUCUGGACCUAGUGAACAUUCAUGGCGAGGGGACAAAGACCUGCUCAGGUGAUCUACUGGUGAGUUCUGCUCUCCUGGGAGGUAUCCUUCUGGCACAGCUGGGAGGAACGUGCCCCUCCCUGUCUGUUUACAUAAAGCAUAGUUGCUAUAUUGUGCUUUAACACUGAUAGAUUUUUUCCCCAGAAUAUGUGGCUGGAAGGCAGAGCAAACUAGACGGCUAGCACGUAGUUCCCUGACAUUAAUAUGAGUCCUCAGCUCCUGCAAGGACUACAGGGUUCCGAUAUGUGCCCCCCAACCCAGGGACGAGGCAUCCAUGACCCACGUAAGCGUUGGUUGCAGAGAAAGUAAGGGAACUCCUGCAUAAAAGGUCUGAGGGUCUGUCCACUGGUCCAGAGAGGACAAAAUUACCUCUGGAACACAAAUUUCUCUGUCUGGACAAUGACAAAAGGGGGCAUCCUUGAAGUUUCCUGAGGCAUAAUCAGGUGAGUUACGUCAUGUAGGUACCUGCUGCCAUGUGCCCCAGAAGUCUGAGGCAAGCAUGCACUGUAGUAAUGGGAUGUGCUUUUAGAUCCAGUACCAGGUCUCAGAGCAUUUGGAACUUUGACUGGGGCAGAAAUGCUCUGGUUUGUAUAGCAUCCAGGAGUGCUCUGAUAAACUAUUCUUGCGCAGGUUUUUAGAAUUGAUCUGACUUGACUGAGUAAGAGACUCAGUGCAUUGAGGGUGGACUGAAUUAUACCCACACUGGCCAGCACUUGAGAGUGCAUCCAGCCUGUCACCAACCAAUCAUCCAGAAGGGGAAUGCAUGGAUUCCCAAGCCUCUUAGAUACACAACUGCCUUACCUUGCACAUUGUGAAAACGCAAGGGGCGGCUGCUGACAGACCAAAUGGAAGUAGUGUAAAUUGGUAAUGUGUUUCAUUUGCUAGGAACAUGAUGAACUUGCGGUGGUCUAGAGGGAUCACUAUAUGGAAGUAACCAUCCUUUAAGUCGAGGGCAGCAUACCAGUAGCCCUGUUCAGGGAAGGAUUGAUGGCAGCUAGGAUAACCCUGGGGAUCUUCAUUUUCUUCAGGUACUUUUUUAACUCCCUUAGAUCUAAAAUAGCUCUGAGAGCCCCUUUUGUUUUGGGAAUAAGGAAAUAGCAGGAUUAAAAACGGUUCCCACUGAGAAAUUGAGGAACUUCCUCUAUUGCACCCACUGGAAGGAGAGAUUAAACCUGCUGUAAAACGGUGUUGUGAGAGUGGUCCUUGAAGAAGGAUGGAGAAGGAGGGGGAUAGAAACAAACUGAAGUCAAUAUCCCACAUCCACCAUGCUUAGGAUCCACCGAACUGAUGUGACAUGAGUCGAAGCACAGAGGAAGCAGGAAAGACAAUAGGCAAAGGUAAGGGUAGGAACAGAUUCGUCCAAAGUAUUGACAAGCCUGUCAGAAAUGCAUGUUUAGACUGGACCAUUGAUUGAGAGGAACCUGCUAUUGCAGACAGAGAGGUGGUGGACACUUUCUGUAAUUCUUGUCCCUCUUUUUUUGGCAGGUCUUGGGCCUGAGGUAUAAAGCUCUGAUAUCUGUGAGCCUUCUGGGGCCAGAAUUGCUUCCUCUUCAUUGCCAGUGUGUAAAUUCCAAGGGACUUCAGUGUUGCCCUGGAUUCUUGUAAGCUAUGCCACCUAUUGUCCAUCUUUUCUGAAAAGAGGGAUGGACCCUCAAAUGGCAAAUCCUAGAUGGCCUGCUGUACUUCAGGAGGGAGACCAGAAGAUUGCAGCCAUGAACUUCUCCUCAUAGAAAUAGCGGAUGUCAAGGAACAAGCUACUGAGUCUGCCACGUCCUAACUGUCUUGAAGAGCUAUCCUUGCACCCCCGCGUACCCUCCUCUAUCCUGAGCGAGCACCUGCCUGGAAUCCUCUGGUAGCGUGUCUUUAAACUUCAGGAUGUUUUCUCAUAGGGUAAAAUCAUAGCAAUUUAGGAGGGCUUGCCAAUUAACAAUUCUUGGCUGCAGCGUGUCUGUUGAAUAAGUUUAUGACCAAACAGGUCCAGCCUCUCUGAUUCCUUACUCUUCAGCGUCAAUGCUUGGUGACCCUCAUUCUCCUGCUCAUGAGCUGAUGCCACCACCAAAGGGCCUGGGGGUGCGUGAGAGUAGAGGGGUUUGAAGCCCUUAGAAGGGACACAGUAGCUCCUCUGUGCCUGUUUUGCUGUAGGCGGGAGGGAAGAAGGGGUCUGUCAAAGUGUUUUAACCGGUUCUAGAAUUGCUUCAUUACCUCGGAAGUACCACUCUGGUGGGUCUCACAGAAGCUAAAGUAUCCACUAGCAUGGGAGAUUUCUUAUGGACCGAUUCUACAUGAACGUCUAAAACUGAGGCCACCUUUUUAAGCAGUUCUUGGUGAGCGCUGUUAUCCUCUGGUGAUGGAGAAUCGCUCGCCAUCUCUACAGCCUCAUCUGGUGAUAAGGAAAACUACACACCAGGAUGCUGAGGCAAUGGCUGGUUUGCCACUUGCAGUGUAGGAAUUGUCUGAGCAAUUUCCAGUUGCUCAGUACCAGGCAUCAGAGAACGUUGCCUGUGAUGCCAGUGAUCUUGAUGCAUCCUUGGGGAAAUAGACUCAGACAGGUGAGGAAAAGUCCUAGCAGGGGCAGGGACACCCCUCGGUGGACAGACCUGGUGACUGUGGUCCCAGGGUUGUGCAUGCCCUUUCCCUUGUGACAUGUCCACUGCUGGGACAUCCGGGGCUCUGAUGGAAGGUGUAAGGUUCUUUUCUGGUAUGAGACACAAAAGACUCCACUUCCAAAUCCGACAAAGAUGACUGAAUCCUAUGGUAACGGAGGAGCAGAACCCAGGUGGACAGGAGACAGAUAAGUGAACCCAGAGGCAGCAGUGCCAGGGAUAUUAACAGCAGCUUGCCCCUGGAGUGGACUGGCCUCCUAGGCACCAGGAGCAGCAUCGGUAACGCAUGCUCUUGCGGAGCUGGCGUAGGCACUACAGACACUGCACUGGCUGGAACCCUUCCUGCAUCACCAGGGACAUUGGUGUUGAGAGGUUAAGUAAUUCUCUGGCGACAGCAUAUGCUUCUGGCAUUGCUGGUAUCAGGAUUGGGUCUUGGGUCUGACCAAUAGAAACUUCAGGGGCUAGCUUUGGCACACACGGCACAGGUUCUGCAGUAGAUGCACCCCCUGUUGUGACAGAGGCAUACUGUGGGGAACGCUCCCCCUCGGAAUCCCUCCCAGACAUCUUGCUUUUAUCCUGCCUCGGUUAUGAAGAUCUUGCUGGACAAGGUACCGUGUCCUUGGCAGAUCUGUCUCCUCUUCAGUAUCGGAGACAGAGAAUGUGGUGCGAAAGACAUCUCAGGAGCACAUGCUGCAUCAGUAGAGCUGCACUUGGAGUGCACUCUGAACCCAACGGCUCCCAGGGAGGGCAAAGUGCCAUCUCCAUAAGGAGACAGCUCUCACUGUUCUGUCUCUUUUUGAGCAAGGCUUAAAUCAUCUGCAAAUGUGACCUUUGUCCCUUGAUGUGGGACUCCCCCAGACGUCUUAGGCAGCUGGGAUGUGGGUCAUGGACCAGCAUCGUUCUGGCACACGACCAGCAGGACUUGAACCCCAGCGAGCGAGAAAUAGCUCCAGUCCCAGUAUCAAGUAAUCAGACUUGGUCCAAAAGGGACCCAAGCAACUAAAACCUAAUAUUAAUGCUACGCUAUAUCUAAUUAACUACUAAGUACUAAAUGAGAAAACAAGCUAUAUACAAAGAGAGAGGAAAAUAAACUUGCCAUCGCAAUACUGGAUGGAAGCGUUCCAACAACCAUCACUGGCGAUAAGAAGGAACUGAGGGGGGUCGGGGCGGCUCCACCCUCUUAUACUGGCACACGGUGGUGCACAGAUGUUGUAGGCACUAGAGUGCCCCAACAGGUAGAAUUGAGGGAAAAAGUUCUCUGAUAACUGCAUGAGGUGCACAGUCACGUACAGUGAAUGGACAUGUGCAAUCACUCAAAGAACCCCUUUGUUGUAUUCAGAGUGGCACAAGGUUGCUUAACUAAACAAAGAUUUUAAUGGGAUUUACUCAUGUUAGCACUGGUAAGUCACUGUUCAGUGCCCAUCCAUCUAGAUUCUUGUACUGUGCCCAUCACCAUAGUAUCCAAGCUUUAUAUGGUGAUUAGGCAUUUAUAAGAUGCCUCUAAAAACAUUGUCAUAGAUAUCUGACUCUUGAGUGAGCUGAAUUCUAGUUGAGGUGAAGAGUCAUCAACACAAUAGUUAAAAAUACUGCAACUGGAACUUGAUUAUGGUUGAUGAUGCACAAGCCGACAAGAACUAGGAUGACCAGACAGCAAAUGUGAAAAAUUGGGACGGGGCGGGGGGUAAUCGGAGCCUACAUAAGAAAAAGACCCAAAAAUCGGGACUGUCCCUAUAAAAUCAGGACAUCUGGUCACCCUAACAAGAACUCAGCUGACUUCCACAUCCCACUGCAGUCUGUAGUGUUAGCAUCUGCUUAGUUUACAAGCUGGAUUUCAUUUUUCAGGCUCACUGUUUAUAGAUAUAUGCUCAGGUAGUACGUGCCUUAUAAGAGGCUAGCUAGGUAGGCAUGACAGAAUCAUGGAAUCCCAUGAAGCUACAUUUAUGGUCACUUUUCAGACUAUAGCCACAAGUUAAGUAAAUACCAUUCUAAUUUGAUACACCUUGAACGAUUGACUUAUAUGUAAUUUUCACACUUAGAAAUUCAAAUGAAAGACUGAUUUCUUUUGGUGGCAUUUUACCCCUUCUUGGUACAUGUACUGCACUAUUUUUAUUUAUACAAUGCCAAAAAGUGCGCUUGGCAUCUAGAGAUGCCAUCGGUAUGCAUCCGAUGAAGUGAGCUAUAGCUCACGAAAGCUUAUGCUCAAAUAAAUUGGUUAGUCUCUAAGGUGCCACAAGUACUCCUUUUCUUUUUGCAAAUACAGACUAACACGGCUGUUACUCUGAAACUUGGCAUCUAGAGAUUUCUUGGUGUGUGGAGUUGUUACCUGAAGGGUGAUUAGAUAUUUGAUCUCUAGGUUGAUAUAUUCUGAUUACAUGACCAACUCAGACACAUAUAGGAUCCCUUUACUUCCUUCCAAUAAAUAAUGGAAAGGGACAUCCCUGCCUCUCAAUCUUCAAAUUUACCAAUACAUGACAAAUAACCAGCAGGUGGAACACCUGAGUUCUGUUGCACUCUAAUUGACAGAGCAUAAUGGUUUCUAACUGUAAAACCUACUUCUAAGAGGAUGUUUCUCCUGGGUCAACUAAACCAGUUUUGCCAUCUGUAACUAGCUUCCCCUGGGGCAUGGUGUGGGGAGGUGGGAAAUAGUCCAUACUCAUGCAAUCUGCCAAAUUCAAUUAAUCCUGCUGCUGCUUCCCUCUUCCCCAGGUUUAACUAGUUUAGGCCAACUCUAACAGGACUCCGCUGCCUUACCUGCUCUUCUGGAACCUAAAAGGCUUUCAGUAGGAGCAGCAGCAGCUUCUCUUCUCUUUCCCUCCAAUAAACCAUUGUUUGAAGGAUGCAAAGUGUGCCAGCCUAUGAGGAGUGAGGCUGCUCAAGGCCUGCUCUCCUCCUUCCUCUGCCCUGUGACAAAUGUGAUGGUCUUAGCUACUCUCCCAUCCCCAAGAGGCAUCUGCUUCUGAGCAGCUCAGCUUCCUUCCUCCAAAGUCUCUCUCUCCUGCUUUUAAGGAGGGAAGAGGAAGAGAGGAGUAAGGGAAGAGUCUCUCCUCCUCCCUUCCUCACCCCCACCAAGCAACUAAUUCUUGUCUGCAGAAGACAGCCUUAAUUGGGGGACCAAGCCUGAAUCAGUAGCAGUGCAGAAUGCACCCCAAACUACAGAGGGUUUGAGAACUCUAGGGAUAUCCCUUCCCAGUAGAGACUCCCACCCUAGAGAGCCUCCCAGGAAUAAGUUGUUAAUGCAUGGAAUGUUUACUAAUUUGCAUGUGAAAGGCAGUGAUGUGAAAGCCCUUUUUAGUUGCAAUAUGAUUUCUAAUUAAAGUGAUUGUGAGCAGCUUA